rnacentral:rRNA from 1 species
GAGGAAUAUUGGUCAAUGGACGAGAGUCUGAACCAGCCAAGUAGCGUGAAGGAUGACUGCCCUAUGGGUUGUAAACUUCUUUUAUACGGGAAUAAAGUUAGCCACGUGUGGCUUUUUGUAUGUACCGUAUGAAUAAGGAUCGGCUAACUCCGUGCCAGCAGCCGCGGUAAUACGGAGGAUCCGAGCGUUAUCCGGAUUUAUUGGGUUUAAAGGGAGCGUAGGCGGGUUGUUAAGUCAGUUGUGAAAGUUUGCAGCUCAACCGUAAAAUUGCAGUUGAUACUGGCGACCUUGAGUGCAACAGAGGUAGGCGGAAUUCGUGGUGUAGCGGUGAAAUGCUUAGAUAUCACGAAGAACUCCGAUUGCGAAGGCAGCUUACUGGAUUGUAACUGACGCUGAUGCUCGAAAGUGUGGGUAUCAAACAGGAUUAGAUACCCUGGUAGUCCACACAGUAAACGAUGAAUACUCGCUGUUGGCGAUAUACGGUCAGCGGCCAAGCGAAAGCAUUAAGUAUUCCACCUGGGGAGUACGCCGGCAACGGUGAAACUCAAAGGAAUUGACGGGGGCCCGCACAAGCGGAGGAACAUGUGGUUUAAUUCGAUGAUACGCGAGGAACCUUACCCGGGCUUAAAUUGCAACUGACUGAACCGGAAACGGUUCUUUCUUCGGACAGUUGUGAAGGUGCUGCAUGGUUGUCGUCAGCUCGUGCCGUGAGGUGUCGGCUUAAGUGCCAUAACGAGCGCAACCCUUAUCGAUAGUUACUAGCAGGUCAUGCUGAGGACUCUAUUGAGACUGCCGUCGUAAGAUGUGAGGAAGGUGGGGAUGACGUCAAAUCAGCACGGCCCUUACGUCCGGGGCUACACACGUGUUACAAUGGGGGGUACAGAAGGCAGCUACACGGCGACGUGGUGCUAAUCCCGAAAGCCUCUCUCAGUUCGGAUUGGAGUCUGCAACCCGACUCCAUGAAGCUGGAUUCGCUAGUAAUCGCGCAUCAGCCACGGCGCGGUGAAUACGUUCCCG